UUCAUGGAGAGUUUAUCCUGGCUCAGGACGAACGCUGGCGGCGUGCCUAAUACAUGCAAGUCGAGCGGACAGAUGGGAGCUUGCUCCCUGAUGUCAGCGGCGGACGGGUGAGUAACACGUGGGUAACCUGCCUGUAAGACUGGGAUAACUCCGGGAAACCGGGGCUAAUACCGGAUGCUUGAUUGAACCGCAUGGUUCAAUUAUAAAAGGUGGCUU
rnacentral:rRNA from 1 species